GGCAUUGGAACACCAGUUCCUGUAUGAUCGCCAAAGUUAAGCAAUGUUGAGCCUGGUCAGUAGCUAGAUGAGUGAGCACUUGGGAAUAUCAAGUGCUGUAAG